CCGUUUAAUCACCAACACAACCCGCUGACUAAAGGAGAGGAAAAUUAUCAAUGCCACACUAUUGUUCGUUCUCGUAUUUAGCGUGGAGAACAUUCCUGUUUUGGAGGGUGUAACAGAGGCUGAACCGAGAGGCCAGACCUUGGGCUACGCCCAUGCGGUGACCCAAAUUGAAAACCUAAGAGAUACAUUGGCGGCCUGUUUCUAUGAUGCUUUCGGAAAAAGCUCUAAGGAAGUUUAGGAAGCUAAGAAUCUCAUUAACGAAAAGAUAGAAUUUGUCUUUAAAGAAAAAAGCGAAUUGGUUUUUAAAAUUGGGCAUAACAGCGUGAGGCAGGAGUAUAUGGACCCUCAUGGCUGGGAGACCUGCGACGAUGUUAAAAAAGGAGUACUGGAGUUAAUUGCGCCUAAGGAAAACACCAUUCUUAAUCUAUUAUCUCAGGAUGGAAUAUAUAGCAGCAGUAGGUCUACAAGUCAUCUACAUCAACUGUUGGCUUAUGCGAAGGAAGUUCUUUCACCAUUUAUCGAAGUUGUGUUCAGCAAAUGUAUAUUUGGUGUCCGCACCACCACUGAAUAUAUGGCGAUGAGUUUCCGAUGAGUUUAAAAGAUUCGACUCAAAGAUCAUGCAACUAAUGGAAAUACGCACAGUGUACAUAACAGUUCGAUACAGUAUAAUCAUUUCUUGUAAAUAUUGUAUCAUUUUUCAAAAACUGAUCUUGCGUUUUAGCGUUUUCUACAUAUGUUUCCCACUCAUAGCCGUAUUAGGUUGUCCAUGUUUAUUUGUCAUUGAUAAGUAGCCAUGGUAUUAUCAUAGAUUUCAAAAACCUUACUUUGAUGUAUGAUGUAUGACUUCCUAUGGUCUAUAUAAUCAUAGCUUUCUUAAAAUUCUUUUCACUAAAAUAAUUAAUAACGUCUGAAAAGUCAAGUGAGUUUGGCCAAUUCAUAACUGAACAUAAAAUCUAAAAUAAUAUUAUUUUUUUCACUUCGAUUUUGUAAUAAUUAUAUGUAGGCUGUUUGAAUUUCAAAUCUAUGAUCCGCUGUAAAAUAUGCUUCAAUAAACAAACAAAGAUUAAAUAUAACUAUGACCAUGUGACUAGAGUUGCACCAACCCCACCCUUGUGGGGACCAUGAGUUAAUUAACCAUUAAUUAACGUAUUAGUUAAUAAACCACAGUUGUUAGAAGAAGGUGAAGUUAAUAAACUCAU